UGCUUGAGUUUCCGCACACGUCCACCAGACGCGCCGGGCUCGCUCGCGCUGCAUGGGGACCCACGACUGACGCGAUCCCAGUGCUCGGAGUAGUGGUAGCACUGGAUACUUGGCAGAAAUAAGGAGAACGCGUUGUGCACUGAUGAAGUGUCACAGUUACGCACAGUUACACACUUUUGCACAGUUACGUGGAUGCGUUAUUCUUGUUCCCAGCAAAUGCAUUGCGAUAAAGGCGACUUUCCUGGACUUUUGCGGAAUAGAGGUUGCGCUGUAAUGGAUCACUCCAAGUUUGGCAUUCACAUAUGGAAGGUCGCCAGUGUCCACUAAAAGGUGGAGACUGAGAUGCUGCAAGUGAAUGAUAAAACAUGCAAUCAAAUGACCACAGAGCUCAGAAGGCGUAAGACGAGCGAAGAGUGGGAGUUGCGAUGGUGGUGGAGAAGUCAACCCGGAGCAGGUGAACGCAGCUGCGGACCGCCAUGGGCUCUCUUCUAUCAGUCCCAACUCUCCGUCUUCGGGCCUCUGAGAGACGGCAGGGGCCAGCCAGGGAGCGUCGGAGUGGGCUGGUGAGGCGGCUCGCUUUCCCCGCCGGCUACCAGCUCCUCAGCAGCGAGGAGGGAGAGAAAUCAAUACUGAGGAGAGAUUCUGCCAGGGGUCGCCAAACACUGCCUCCAGUCAUGGCGCCAUGGGAGCCAGCGUACUCAACUUUCUCUUCCUCAACCCAAUCUCAGUCAACUCGCAUCAGCUAAAGAAUGGGCCAAGAGCCUUACUGUUCUUCAUGCAACAGCGAGUGUAUGUGUGGUUCUGCCAGAGGGCCUUUCCAGACCCGGCAUCACUUGAUAAAACUAGGAGAAUGAGUAAAAAAAGAAUGUCAAAGGCCUUUUUUUCCCCUGUCUUUGAUUCCUUUUUCACCAUAAGUGCACAUUCCCCCUGACUGUUUGAAUGAGUGCUUCACGGAGAUCUCUUUUACGCUAAAUCAAGAGGUCUUUCUAUUUUAAUGGUUCUCCUCAUAAGUAUGCACAAAGUGCUCUACAUCAGAUGGGAUGAGUGAACAGGUUGAACCCAUUUUUAACCUUUUUCAGAUGAAUUUUUUUAAUAAUCACCAACGUUCGAGAGCUUGGAAAAGGACUUGGCCUUGAUUUGUAGAGAAUGGCUUGGCACUCACCUUUGCUGGGUACUUUAUAUCACUUUUCAGCCCUUGCCAUGGCAUUUGAUGGGCAUUAACAAUAUUGCAGACCAAGGGGAUGACAAUGCAAGUCAUUGAUAGAGCACAGAGGUCGAAAAUCUCCUAAUAAGCCCUCGUGAACAUCCUGCUUGGGAUGUGGAAGACUCUGAAAUGUCAAUGAAGUAAUAUGCUGACAACUCAAAAAUGGAUGAAGCAAGGUUGCAUUGAUGGGUUGCAUUGCAUGCUGGUUGCAGUGGAUGGUCUUAUAUCUGUGGAUGCCCACUGGAAAUGGAGAUACCCUUUCAACAAAGAAGUGAAGUUGGUUCUUUAAGAGCGCAAGAGAUGCCAACAAAAGCUGAAUGAGUCAUGCCUUGAACCCAGGACCAUCACAUCCCAUUCAGAGGAAUAUUUAUCUUUCUCUUUCUUUCUUUCUUCAUAUAUUGACUGCAUAUAAUUGCUUUUUAGUUCGAUUUUUAUGUUUCAUUUUUUUUGUUAGACCUCAUCCAUAAGGUAAGUAUUUUUGGACAAUGAAUGGGUAAGUUAAAUAUUGAAUUCCCUUUUUUAAUUGAAUGAAUUACCACUUUAAUGAUAGCGAGACUGCUUAAAAGCUUUUAUCUUGACCUUGAUAUGCAUUGAUAUGAAAAUUACAAUAAUAUCAACAUAGUCUCAUGAAAACUAGUAAUAAUUGCGAUAAUGAGAUGGUGAAAUCGUAAGAUAUGGUACCACUUGGCUUGUAUGAAAAGGUACAACUUUUAGACCAAUCAAUUAAAUAUGAUUCCUUCAUCUUUUAUCAAACCCCCAAUGUUUUCUUUCUUCCGUGGAAUACAAAAUAUUUUUUUCCCAUUAAAACCAUGGUUAGGUUUAGAGUUUGGGGAAGGGAUUAGACUUGAUGGUUAGGUUUAGGUUUGGGAUUAUAUUUGGGAAAAAUCAUAUUAACAUAGUUCAUUGGUUCAUUAUUUUUUGUUCUGUAUAGAAUUAAAAGUCAUACUUUAACUCAACUUUAAGCCAUCUCCUACCAUUAUUACCAUUUGUCAUGAGAUUGCGUUGAUAAUGUUGACAAUAAUUUUGUUUACUGUUGUAAACUAUUGCUGCCUUACUGCCUUGUAAUAAAUAAUAAAAAGUGCCUAAACAUA